GUGGGGAAUCUUGCGCAAUGGGCGAAAGCCUGACGCAGCCAUGCCGCGUGAAUGAUGAAGGUCUUAGGAUUGUAAAAUUCUUUCACCGGGGACGAUAAUGACGGUACCCGGAGAAGAAGCCCCGGCUAACUUCGUGCCAGCAGCCGCGGUAAUACGAAGGGGGCUAGCGUUACUCGGAAUUACUGGGCGUAAAGGGCGCGUAGGCGGACAGUUUAGUCAGAGGUGAAAGCCCAGGGCUCAACCUUGGAAUUGCCUUUGAUACUGGCUGUCUUGAGUACGGGGGAGGUGAGUGGAACUCCGAGUGUAGAGGUGAAAUUCGUAGAUAUUCGGAAGAACACCAGUGGCGAAGGCGACUCACUGGCCCGUUACUGACGCUGAGGCGCGAAAGCGUGGGGAGCAAACAGGAUUAGAAACCCUGGUAGUCC
rnacentral:rRNA from 1 species